rnacentral:lncRNA from 1 species
GCCAAGCAGAAAAGAUAAUGAAUAGUGAAAGAUAGUGCUGAUUGUCACUCAAAUAGUUUUCAAUAAUAAGAUUCAGCCUGUGUGUUCCUAGCAACAGAUGCUCUCAAAGACCCUGUCACAAAUGACUUUUAAGCACAAUAUUUGUUGCAAAGAACCACAACAUUAACCAUCUCUUCACGGAUUCAGAUGUCCAACAUAAUGCUUAUGAUCUGCAGAAUACUGUUUCAGAUUCCAGGUUUUAUUUCUUUAAAUUUAUUUUAUUUUUUUUCCAGUAAAAAUUAUAUGAAAAUAAACAGGACGUAACAUAAGAAAAGGUUUGCUGUUAUGGUGGAAUAUGAGCACUAAUGUUUGUCCCAUUAUGCUGGAGAACAAAGGCUGUGCAAAACAUUAUGGCCAGUUACUCUAGCAGGUCAGCAGUUGGAAGGAGGGAGAGAAGGAGCAAGCAGAAUGUGCAUGCCGCAGCCUGGCUUCAGUCAUUGGAUUUCCCUGAGUGGUUGUACUGCUGAGAGUGCUGCAUUCCCAUUGCAAGCCUUGAUGAAAGGGCAGAGGAUCAAACUGAAGAGGUGACAAGUCAUUACCCAUAUUCUGGAAGAGAAUUCAUUUCAGAAGUGACAGAUUUAGUAUACACAAGGAUGCAGAAAGAUUUUUUUCCCUACUUA